GACGAACGCUGGCGGCGUGCUUAACACAUGCAAGUCGAACGGAAAGGCCCUGCUUUUGUGGGGUGCUCGAGUGGCGAACGGGUGAGUAACACGUGAGUAACCUGCCCUUGACUUUGGGAUAACUUCAGGAAACUGGGGCUAAUACCGGAUAGGAGCUCCUGCUGCAUGGUGGGGGUUGGAAAGUUUCGGCGGUUGGGGAUGGACUCGCGGCUUAUCAGCUUGUUGGUGGGGUAGUGGCUUACCAAGGCUUUGACGGGUAGCCGGCCUGGGAGGGUGACCGGCGACAUUGGGACUGGGAUACGGCCCAGACCCCUACGGGAGGCAGCAGUGGGGAAUAUUGCACAAUGGGCGGAAGCCUGAUGCAGCAACGCCGCGUGCGGGAUGAUGGCCUUCGGGUUGUAAACCGCUUUAGCCUGUGACGAAGCGUGAGCGACGGUAAUGGGUAAAGAAGCACCGGCUAACUACGUG
rnacentral:rRNA from 1 species